AUCGAACGCUGGCGGCAGGCCUAACACAUGCAAGUCGAACGAGUGGCGGACUGGUGAGUAAUGUCUGGGAACCUGCCUGACGGAGGGAGAUAACUACUGGAAACGGUAGCUAAUACCGCAUACCAUCAGAUGUGCCCAGAUGGGAUUUGCUUGUUGGUGGGGUAACGGCUAACCAAGGGGACGAUCCCUAGCUGGUCUGAGAGGAUGACCAGCCACACUGGAACUGAGACACGGUCCAGACUCCUACGGGAGGCAGCAGUGGGGAAUAUUGCACAAUGGGCGAAAGCCUGAUGCAGCCAUGCCGCGUGUAUGAAGAAGGCCUUCGGGUUGUAAAGUACUGUCGGCGGGGAGGCGUUACCCGCAGAAGAAGCACCGGCUAACUCCGUGCCAGCAGCCGCGGUAAUAC
rnacentral:rRNA from 1 species